AUUGUUUAAUUGUUUAUUCGUGCUUUCUUUUAAAGCAUUUUCAUUCGAAUUUUCCUUGUUAGAGAUAGAGCUAAAAAGCUUUGAAAUUUCUACAUGUUAGAAAAAAUUGUUUUAUAUUGUAUUGUCAUGUUGUCCCUUACGAGAAUUGCUCAUCAUUGUUUCAAUUUUUUUUCCUUUCCUAUAAAAUACUAAUUGCUAACUUUUUUUUCAAAAGUACAGUGGUUUAAAGUUGUUUGCUUAGAGAAAAUGUCAUUUGUUGACACAGUACAUAUGGCUGUUAACCGUAAUAUAAAUGACAACAAACAGGAGAAAGACUUCG